rnacentral:rRNA from 1 species
CAGCCGCCGCGGUAACACGUAGGGUGCAAGCGUUAAUCGGAAUUACUGGGCGUAAAGCGCACGCAGGCGGUUUGUUAAGUCAGAUGUGAAAUCCCCGAGCUUAACUUGGGAACUGCAUUUGAAACUGGCAAGCUAGAGUCUUGUAGAGGGGGGUAGAAUUCCAGGUGUAGCGGUGAAAUGCGUAGAGAUCUGGAGGAAUACCGGUGGCGAAGGCGGCCCCCUGGACAAAGACUGACGCUCAGGUGCGAAAGCGUGGGGAGCAAACAGGAUUAGAUACCCCGGUAGUCCCUGUCUCUUAUAC